UACGAAGGGGGCGAGCGUUGCUCGGAAUUACUGGGCGUAAAGCGCACGUAGGCGGCUUUUUAAGUCAGGGGUGAAAUCCUGGAGCUCAACUCCAGAACUGCCUUUGAUACUGAGAAGCUUGAGUCCGGGAGAGGUGAGUGGAACUGCGAGUGUAGAGGUGAAAUUCGUAGAUAUUCGCAAGAACACCAGUGGCGAAGGCGGCUCACUGGCCCGGUACUGACGCUGAGGUGCGAAAGCGUGGGGAGCAAACAGGG
rnacentral:rRNA from 1 species